AUGUCAUUUGCCGGCGUGUCUCUCGUCGGCGACGGCAAGGCCGUCGGCCACGCCAUCGACAUCCCCACUGCCAGUGGGUACCACCUGCUUGUGGUUAACCGCUACUCGCACACCAAAGCCACUGUAUCCAAUGGCACGAAGAUCGUCUCUCUCCCUUUCAUGAUAGGAAGUCAUCGUUGGCGCAUCAGCUACUAUCCUAAUGGCGGCCGCUCAGGGAGCGCCGACUCAAUAUCUCUCUUUCUACGUCUUCUUGACGAAGAUGUUGCAGAGGCUUUAAACAUGCAGUCCAUUUUUAGUUUUGUCGACGACCAUGAGAAGCAAGAUUCAGCAUAUAUACGUGCAAGCAAGGCAGCUAUCUUCUCAAGCUGUAAGAGAUGUUGGGUUUACAAGAAUUUCAUGAAAAGAGACGUCCUUGAGAAAUCAAAGCAUCUAAAGGAUGAUUGUUUAACCAUCCGAUGUGACGUCGCCAUUGCCACGACAGUUGAUCUCUUCAUCAAGGUACCGCCUUCUAGUAUAAAACAGCAUAUUAGCGACCUCCUCCUGUCCAAGAAGGGCACAGACGUGACAUUCAUGGUGUGUGGUGAGAAGUUUGCUGCCCAUCGAUGCAUGCUUGCAGCUCGAUCUACAGUCUUCAAGGUGGAGCUGUUUGGAUACAUGAAGGAGCGCAAAAUAGGAAGCGUCAUAGAUGUAGAAGAUGUGGAGGCAAAAGUGUUUGGUGCCUUGCUUAACUUUAUUUACACCGAUUCACUGCCUGACAUGGAGAUAGACAUGUCGGAGGAUGAAGGAGAAGCCCAAGAAGCACCUGUGGUUGCAACACUUGCUUGCAGCGGCCGAUAG
rnacentral:rRNA from 1 species